UGUUCCCUGAAUAGUGUGCCACGUGCUGUUUGCUAUACGGUCUAUGAAUGCCUUCGAGUUGAAGGUAAAUCAUGGUUAUAUAUGAGUAACUAAAGAUUAGUUCAGAUCGAUUUAGUCCUCAGGCAUGAAGCUGAGGACGGGAAUAUUUGAUAUGCUUUUAUCUCUCAGAUGACGCCGGGUUCUCUCUCCAGGCAACACACACUGACGUUCAUCUCACUUUUAAACCACUUACUAAGGCUAUAUGUUAUAUUUAGUCAGUUAUUGCAGCUAUAGCCUACAGCAUUUUAUGUAAAUAUUGCGUAUUGUAAUAUUUAUUUGUAGUUCUGUUCUUUUUUUUUUUUUUUUUUUUAAGUCGUGAUAUUUAUUCCAGGUUACAGAAGUGGAAUAUCUGAUGUUGCAUGUGAGUGCGGUGUGAAGGGGAGGAGAAGAGAGGAGAGUGGGAGGAGGUGCGUGUGGGAGUCCCGCAGAAGGAGCGUUUCAAUCCCAACAUGAAUUCCACCCGCAAUCUCUGACUGACAACACUCGAGCGAUAUAACCAUACAUUACAAGCGGAUACUUUCUGAAGUCUUUCCGAUCAGCGUCUGCUGUUUUCCACGGAUGCCCUUAACGUCUUCCUCGUGACUUCAACAUCGCCACGGAACGGGAUAAGGCGGUAAAUGUCGCGUUUCGCAUCUUUUCGCUCCGGUUGAAGCCGCAGGAGUAUGUGAUCAUGUUGGCGACGCGCUGCCUCCUCCUGUGGGCUGCGGUCACCGCGCGACUCGCCGUGACAGGCUGGGGCAGCAGCAUCAAGCGGGACGGAGCGGAACGGGGACGCGAACAGAACGCGUAUGCGGAGGAGCUCACGCAGCCUCAGCGGCUGCUGCAGCGGACUGACGCGGAGGAGGAGCUGCCGCACGGACACUUGGGUACUCUAGUAAAGAUUGAUGCUGAUGGAGCGCAUGUGAGUGACUCUCCACUGAAAAAAAAAAUUCUUUAUGCACGAUACAUGUGAAAAACAACCAUCAACUUUUAUCAUAAUAUAAUAGCCUAACUUGCUCCCUCUCUGAAAUUACUUUACUCUUUGGCUGAUGUCACCAAGCUCUUUUAUUUUCCGUCCCCUCCCUUCCAACUACCUGCCGAGUCCGAUUUGUGUACCACCAGAGUACUACUGCAUUCGAUGAAAACUUCUUGAGUGUUAAUUAUUCACAAUGUAGUAGGCUUACAUUUGCCAUUUUAGCACUGUCAUGUGAUCUACAAAAAAUAGCUGCUUUAUCUUUUAAUCAUUUAUUUAUUGCCAUUUACGAAUAUAUCCACUUUCCUGGCCCAGACAGAUUAAUUUUUUUUCUAGGGAUAGAAAUGUGCCAGUUUUUCUAUGCUUUUGACAUUUUUCCAUUCACGUGCAGACCACUAUCCAGUCAGUUCCACUUUUUUUUCUAGGUAAAUACUUUUUCUCACUUUGAAUAAAAAGCAUGUUGAAUGAGUUUUAAAUGCUCUUACAUGUUUUAAUUUUUUUUUUAAAGUGGCCAUUAUUUGAAAAUUCAAGUUUUGUGGCUUUUAGUGUGUUAAUUAAAUAUUUGAGUUAUUUUGAUGCAUCUGGCUGCCAAUAACAGUGUAAUAUUCUCAGCUCUUUGCUCAGCUCUCCAUCUGGGCCUGCACUGGAUUCAUUCCAAGGUUCCACAUGUACAAAAAUCUCAGAAUCUUCCAAAUAUUAUGGCAUUUAAUCCCAAGAUUAGCACUAAAUAAAUAAAAUGGUAUAACCUGCUGUAACUGCAAUAUACACACCCCCCUCUAAUAUUCUGAUUAAUAAUUUACUGAUAUGUUUUUUUUUAAUCCCAUAAAUCAUUGCAUUUGACUCCCCAUAUCAUGCGCUUCCGGCCUUGAUAAAUAACAUUCUUAGCAAGUUUCUUCCAAACCCCAUCUGUCAUGAAGGCUAUAGAGAUGAGAGAGAAUUGGCACUGAGCCCUUUUCAGAGGGGUAAAGUGCACAUUAAAGGUUCUACUUGUAAAUGUAUACUUUAAUGUAAUAUUGGCUUCUUGCUGUAGAGGAGGGUGGAAUGUUUAACAGUUGGGGGAAGAGUAAACGGGUCUGUCUCAGUGUUGGUAUAGACUGAAUCUGCAAAGGGUUAGUUCACCCAAAAAUGAAAAAUUCUGUCAUUGUUUGCUUCAUCUUGAAUCCUUAAAUCUGAAACCUGAGUAGGGAACGCGUAUGCGGAGGAGCUCACGCAGCCUCAGGCGCUGCUGCAGCGGACUGACGCGGAGGAGGAGCUGCCGCGACGGACUACGUUGGGUACUCUAAGUAAAGUAUUGAUGCUGAGUGGAGCGCAUGUGAGUGACUCUCCACUAGAAAAAAAAAAUUCUUUAUGCACGAUACAUGUGAAAAACAACCAUCAACUUUUAUCAUAAUAUAAUAGCCUAACUUGCUCCCUCUCUGAAAUUACUUUACUCUUUGGCUGAUGUCACCAAGCUCUUUUAUUUUCAUCAUAAUAUAAUAGCCUAACUUGCUCCCUCUCUGAAAUUACUUUACUCUUUGGCUGAUGUCACCAAGCUCUUUUAUUUUCCGUCCCCUCCCUUCCAACUACCUGCCGAGUCCGAUUUGUGUACCACCAGAGUACUACUGCAUUCGAUGAAAACUUCUUGAGUGUUAAUUAUUCACAAUGUAGUAGGCUUACAUUUGCCAUUUUAGCACUGUCAUGUGAUCUACAAAAAAUAGCUGCUUUAUCUUUUAAUCAUUUAUUUAUUGCCAUUUACGAAUAUAUCCACUUUCCUGGCCCAGACAGAUUAAAUUUUUUUUUUCUUAGGGA
rnacentral:lncRNA from 1 species